UGGGGAAUUUUCCGCAAUGGGCGAAAGCCUGACGGAGCAAUACCGCGUGAGGGAGGAAGGUCUUUGGAUUGUAAACCUCUUUUCUAGGGGAAGAAGUUCUGACGGUACCCUAGGAAUAAGCAUCGGCUAACUCCGUGCCAGCAGCCGCGGUAAUACGGAGGAUGCAAGCGUUAUCCGGAAUUAUUGGGCGUAAAGCGUCCGUAGGUGGUGAUACAAGUCUGUCGUCAAAGAGUGGGGCUUAACCCCAUAAAGGCGGUGGAAACUGUAUGACUAGAGUUCGGUAGGGGUAGCGGGAAUUCCCAGUGUAGCGGUGAAAUGCGUAGAUAUUGGGAAGAACAUCGGUGGCGAAAGCGCGCUACUGGGCCGAAACUGACACUGAGGGACGAAAGCUAGGGUAGCG
rnacentral:rRNA from 1 species